rnacentral:rRNA from 1 species
UUUAACUGAAGAGUUUGAUCAUGGCUCAGAUUGAACGCUGGCGGCAGGCUUAACACAUGCAAGUCGAGCGGAGAGAGGUAGCUUGCUACUGAUCUUAGCGGCGGACGGGUGAGUAAUGCUUAGGAAUCUGCCUAUUAGUGGGGGACAACAUUUCGAAAGGAAUGCUAAUACCGCAUACGUCCUACGGGAGAAAGCAGGGGAUCUUCGGACCUUGCGCUAAUAGAUGAGCCUAAGUCGGAUUAGCUAGUUGGUGGGGUAAAGGCCUACCAAGGCGACGAUCUGUAGCGGGUCUGAGAGGAUGAUCCGCCACACUGGGACUGAGACACGGCCCAGACUCCUACGGG